CCUACGGGAGGCAGCAGUGGGGAAUAUUGCACAAUGGGGGGAACCCUGAUGCAGCGACGCCGCGUGAGUGAAGAAGUAUUUCGGUAUGUAAAGCUCUAUCAGCAGGGAAGAAAAUGACGGUACCUGACUAAGAAGCCCCGGCUAACUACGUGCCAGCAGCCGCGGUAAUACGUAGGGGGCAAGCGUUAUCCGGAUUUACUGGGUGUAAAGGGAGCGUAGACGGUUAUGUAAGUCUGGAGUGAAAGCCCGGGGCCCAACCCCGGGACUGCUUUGGAAACUGUGUAACUGGAGUGCAGGAGGGGCAGGCGGAAUUCCUGGUGUAGCGGUGAAAUGCGUAGAUAUCAGGAGGAACACCGGCGGCGAAGGCGGCCUGCUGGACUGAAACUGACGUUGAGGCUCGAAAGCGUGGGGAGCAAACAGGAUUAGAUACCCUUGUAGUC
rnacentral:rRNA from 1 species